AUUGAACGCUGGCGGCAGGCUUAACACAUGCAAGUCGAGCGAGCGGCGGACGGGUGAGUAAUGUCUGGGAAACUGCCUGAUGGAGGGGGAUAACUACUGGAAACGGUAGCUAAUACCGCAUACCAUCAGAUGUGCCCAGAUGGGAUUAGCUAGUUGGUGGGGUAAUGGCUCACCAAGGCGACGAUCCCUAGCUGGUCUGAGAGGAUGACCAGCCACACGGCAACUGAGACACGGUCCAGACUCCUACGUGAGGCAGCAGUGGGGAAUAUUGCGCAAUGGGCGCAAGCCUGAUGCAGCCAUGCCGCGUGUGUGAAGAAGGCCUUCGGGUUGUAAAGUACUUUCAGCGAGGAGGCGUUACUCGCAGAAGAAGCACCGGCUAACUCCGUGCCAGCAGCCGCGGUAAUUC
rnacentral:rRNA from 1 species